rnacentral:lncRNA from 1 species
CCAUCAACAACCGUCAGAUUCUGAGAUUCUAUCCAAAAAAAUUUACAGGCUGCCCUUGUAGUUCUCUAUUAUUACAAAAUUUCCAUUGAUAUAUUAUUUCGAAACCCUAUUCAGUAGAGCUUAAUCUGUUUUCCACAGCUGUCGUCGGUGCGAGAAUCUCCGAUUGCCCGUCGCUCUCCCACCUUCGCAGCUCCAUCUGAUUUCCACAGAAUCUCCGAUAUCCCGUAGCUCUCGAAAGCCGGAAGUCGCGGUAUCCGUGACUCUCGCGUCGCUUCCAACUCUGCAACUCCUUCUACCGCCACAAUCAGCUUCUCCUCACGCCACCACUGCAACUCCUCCUCUAACCACAACGCCAGCUUGUCAUCGCGCUCCUUGCAGUAAGUUCCUCGCCCACUUUUCUGCUCCAACUCUCAGCCUGAUUCUUCUCCUCGCCCACUUCCGAUCACCACCGUAGAUCUCCGACGCCGGCAACGUAGAUUUUAGAAGACGAGCAUCAAGCUCUGUAGAUCUCAAAAGCGCUGACUUCUCGUCAAGAGCCAUUUAACUAGUUCAAGUCUCUCCCGUCACUUCCAAUUCCGGCGCAAGUUUGUAGCUCUGUGUGUGGAAGUCUUGGUCAAUUAAUUGGUUCCUAGAAGACGAGCAUCAAGCUCCCUCCUCCACUUCCCACCGAGAACGAGAUAGCUUAGGCACAAAUACUACUUGUCAAAAUGAUAUUGACAGGAUAUUUAGAACACGAUGUGGUAUCCCACUUCUGAUUCCAUAGCACUACUUGGACCUGUUUUUGAUGCAGGGAGGAUCUGAAAGAGUACUGACAAGAGUACCGCAAGGAGGAUUGUUGAUGGUUUUGUUUGAUGAACAAGUAGUGAUGUAGGAUUGCUGAAUUAUUUUUUGUCGUCAAAAUGUUUUCGAGUUUGGUAGCAGCAGUAGAAUUUUGGUUACUUGUACUACUGAUUUUGGAAGUUUUAUCAAAUAGUUGAAUUUUAGAAUUUUGGUCAAGUAUGUGAGGGUAUUUUUGUCAUUGUCAUUAGUAUUUCAGAAUUAGUUUCCUAUUAACUUUCCUAUUCAAUUAUGUAUCCAAACAAGG